CUCUUAUUCAGAGUGAUGGAGAUACAUAGGAUCUGUGAAGUCACGGCAACCCCUUAAAGGAAGGUGCCAACCUGAGCGAGUAUUCGAACAAUAAGAG
rfam:Firmicutes bacterium CAG:56 genomic scaffold, scf21